ensembl:lncRNA
AGCUUAUCCUUAAGACUGUCCUUGAGACUUGAGGGAGUGAAAACAAGGGCCCUCUGUGUAUUACCCACAAUUUGAUUUGUGCUGAUAUGGCUUCUGGGAUAUGCUGACACAUGACAAACUUCAGAUAAAGAUGAAUGUCAUGUGUCAUCCAAUAUGAAAGUUUUGGAAGUUAGAAGACAGACUAAGAGCAAAGAAUAAAGUCUGGCAACUUCAGCAGUAAUUUCAGCCAAUUUGCAUUUAAUGGAAGAAGACCAUUGUCUGCUCAUGUAUAUAUCUAACUCAUAAUAGAAACUUCCAGAUAGAUGCUGUUGUAAGUGAUAAAGCUGUGGAAGAGGUUCAGUGUGGCUGGAUUUAUGUUGAGGUCUUUUUAAGCAUAGCUUUCAUGAUGAAGAUUUCCUGCAGCCAGGACACCUACCUGGUCUCAGUGUUGAAAGCUGUUUAUCACUUGCUGUGAACCACUGGUGGAAGACAGUAGCUUCUUUGACUAAUCCUUCUCACGAUAGAACUGGCCUGUUUCUGAGGCCUUGCUGUCUCUACAGAGCAGAAAGAUCAGGACUUCCCAGCAGUCUCAACUGCCGCAAAGGUCUAAACAAGUUGCUUGAGGACCAGCCCCUUAAGUAUGGUAGCCUGUGCACCGGCUUGGUCUCAACACAAGAUAAAAUGGUGUUUCUUACCAAUCCUCAUGGAUUUGACAGUGUCAUGGGCAGAGACUUUGCUUGAAACGUAAAGGUUGUUGCCAACAUUUUACCCAAGAAACAUUAGCUUUGUAUUUUUCUCUGUAGAACAAAUUAAAUUUGUUAAAGAUCUUAUAUCCUUGAGUUUGAAGACUGAACACCUUUGGAUUGAGAGGAAGGAUGGAAUAUAGCAUACCUGUGACCCUGAAACACAACUGUUCAGGUGUUGACCAUUCAGUCUGGAGAAGUCUUGGAGGAGACCACAUUUCAUUUCCACUUGCAUUUCCUCAAGUUUCUGACUGCCUUUACCCUCCAGUUCCUGCUCUUGCGCCCUGUGGUUGAUGACAGCAGGGGAGGAAGAUGAAGUCUGUAGUAAGAAUGUUUGAGAGAAAAUGUGGAUGACAGCUCGGGUGCUGGACACCACAGGCAUGAACUAUAAACACCUCAACUUGCUAGCUCUGAGGUGCCAACCUAUGGACAGAGCAGUUGGACUCUGAGUAAAAAGAGAUGUAUUAAAUAUUAAAUGCCUUGAGAAGAGGGUGCCUGUGAUAGGAAAAUGAAUCUAGAAAAGCCUGUAGACACACAGAACAAGACUGAUGGAGAAUUAAAUGAUGGGGCCUCAAAGGUCUAUUUCUGUCUGUGUUCCUACAUCUGGCUAAGUAAGUGGGAAUUGGACCAACUUCCUCUAGUGACUGCUGUGUCUCUAGUCUUACUGUAAAGCCUAGGAUAAAAUGUUUUCAUAAAAUGUGGAAAUAACUGACCAAAGACUUAUAUAUGAGCAAGCCCAUCUCUUAUCAGGAACUUGAAAUUUUGAAUUGUCUGUCCUUUAAGGUGGAAAUACUGAAUAGUUCAAGAUGGCCAGUUGUGUCAGGACAAAGACAAGGAAAGGGAACUGGUAGAUGAAGGAGAAAGUGGAGAAGCAGCAGAAACAAAGUCUCAGCUCACUCGGCACCUGACUCUGCCGAGGCACUGAAAAAAUCAAGGUGUUUUCUACAAUGUUUGUGAGCAAGAUGAGGG